rnacentral:rRNA from 1 species
GACGUAGGUCCCGAGCGUUGCCCGGAUUUACUGGGAGUAAAGUGCGCGUAGGCGGUUCGGCAAGUCGCCUGUGAAAGUCCGGGGCUCAACCCCGGGGUGCCGGGCGAACCUGCCGGGCUAGAGGACGGCAGAGGAGGGUGGAGAGGCCGGAGUAGCGGUGAAAUGCGUAGAUACCGGCCGAAAUCCCGAUGGCGAAGGUAACCCUCUGGGCCGUUCCUGACGCUGAGGCGCGAAAGCGCGGGGAGCGAACUGG